rnacentral:rRNA from 1 species
GAACGCGAAGAACCUUACCAGGUCUUGACAUCCCUCUGACCGCUCUAGAGAUAGAGCUUUCCUUCGGGACAGAGGUGACAGGUGGUGCAUGGUUGUCGUCAGCUCGUGUCGUGAGAUGUUGGGUUAAGUCCCGCAACGAGCGCAACCCUUAUUGUUAGUUGCCAUCAUUAAGUUGGGCACUCUAACGAGACUGCCGGUAAUAAACCGGAGGAAGGUGGGGAUGACGUCAAAUCAGCAUGCCCCUUAUGACCUGGGCUACACACGUGCUACAAUGGCUGGUACAACGAGUCGCAAGCCGGUGACGGCAAGCUAAUCUCUUAAAGCCAGUCUCAGUUCGGAUUGUAGGCUGCAACUCGCCUACAUGAAGUCGGAAUCGCUAGUAAUCGCGGAUCAGCACGCCGCGGUGAAUACGUUCCCGGGUCUUGUACACACC